rnacentral:rRNA from 1 species
CGGGCUUAGUGGCGGACGGGUUAAGUAACGCGUGGGAAUGUACCCUUCACUACGGAAUAGUCCCGGGAAACUGGGUUUAAUACCGUAUACGCCCUUCGGGGGAAAGAAUUUCGGUGAAGGAUCAGCCCGCGUUAGAUUAGGUAGUUGGUGGGGUAAUGGCCUACCAAGCCUACCAUCUAUAGCUGGUUUGAGAGGAUGAUCAGCAACACUGGGACUGAGACACGGCCCAGACUCCUACGGGAGGCAGCACUGGGGAAUCUUACAUUAUGGGGGAAACCCUGAUCUAGCCAUGCCGCGUGAGUGACGAAGGUCUUAGGAUCGUAAAGCUCUUUCAACUGUGAAGAUAAUGACGGUACGCAGUAGAAGAAACCCCGGCUAACUCCGUGCCAGCAGCCGCGGUAAUACGGAAGGGGUUAGCGUUGUUCGGAAUUACCGGGCGUAAAGCGCACGUAGGCGGAUUGGAAAGUUGGGGGUGAAAUCCCGGGGCUCAAACUCGGAACUGCCUCCAAAACUAUCAGUCCAA